GGCUGGGCUUGGUUAAAACCCUGGAUGGCAGACAAAAUACAUAUAUUGAAGGUUUAUUUUGUUAUUGUACAUAUUUGCAGCUAAAAGGUAAUGUGCAGCAUACAUAAACCUACAUAAUUAAGUAAAUAAAACAAAACAUAUCAGACGUAGUAUACAAUAUUACAGUUAAGCGGCAUUAAGCAGUCUCACAGAGUAAGCCAUAGGACUGUUGUAGUAUCUGUCAGUCACAGCAGGGAGAUGGUUCAGUUUGUGACUGGAUCAGGUAGUAAGGAGAAGGUUCAGUUUGUGACUGGAUCAGGUAGUAGGAGGAAGGUUCAGUUUGUGACUGGAUCAGGUAGUAGGGGGAAGGUUCAGUUUGUGACUGGAUCAGGUAGUAAGGAGAAGGUUCAGUUUGUGACUGGAUCAGGUAGUAAGGAGAAGGUUCAGUUUGUGACUGGAUCAGGUAGUAAGGAGAAGGUUCAGUUUGUGACUGGAUCAGGUAGAUCUGCCACUGACAUGGCCUUUCAUCUGAGGCAGCCAUUUGUAGUCAUCCUGGGAUUCGGUGUUAAUGUCGGAGAUGAGUGUGUGUCCCACACAUCUUGGCUUGGAAUGUCACACCAAGCGCUUUGGCGCUGGAUACCACCUCAAGUGUGUGGCCGGAGAUGGAUAAUGGCGGAGGUGGGUCAGGAUUGUGUCUAAAACAGGUGUACAUGACUUUGCACUUGGUUGGGUUGAACUUCAUCUUGUUUGGUUCUGACCAGUCGGCUAAUUAGUUGAGGAUCUGCUGUAUGGUGGAAGUGUCACCUAUGGGUCUUGAUUCGAUGAGGUUCAGGUCAUCCACCUAGGCCCAGGUGUUGCAUAGGGUACCCUCUGAUGUACCAUUGACGUGAGCCACGAAUACAAUUGGACCAAGCCGUGUGCCGUGGGGGCAGGCCACAGGAGAGUUCUUGGGCCUGCGAUACAGUGUCAUGGUAUUUUGUCACCUGACUACUGUCGGAAUGGAAGUUACAAAUCCAUGGCAUGAUCUCUGGUCGGUCAGAUAAUUCCAAAAGGUGUUUCAUUGCAUUGGUGUGAUCCACAAGAUCAAAAAAGGUCUUCCUGGUUAGAACAGAGAGUAGUUUCCUGUGCAUUUCCCAUAGUUCAACAGUCGGAAGUGAAUGCAGUUAGGUCUGACAGGUUUAGUGGUGGUAAUGAUGUGGUGACAAAUAACUGGUCAUUCAAUUGUCUGGGUCGAGCCGCUCAGCUUUGAUUGAGACGGUCUUUUUAGUGCUGGUCAGAGAUUUAAUUUGAUGGUACCAUGUGGCUGGGUUCGCCUUCUUGUUUUUCUGGAUUUCGGUGUGGUAGAAUGUUGAUCUUGCUGCCUGGAUCUGUCUCUGGGUUGUGUUUCUCAGAGUGCUCCAUGAAGGCCAGUCUUUUUCACUGAAGGUUUUCUGUCUGCUUUGAAUCAGCUCUUUGAUUCUCGGUGAAAUCAGCUCCUUAUCCUGUGCAUGCAUCCUAACCACCCCUUUUGGGAAGUAAGCUGCAAUGG
rnacentral:lncRNA from 1 species